rnacentral:rRNA from 1 species
UGCGGAAGGAUCAUUACUGA